AUGUUGAACCUAGUGGCAGGCCUAAACAUGCAGUCGAACGGUAACAUAAGAGCUUGCUCUUGAUGACGAGUGGCGCACGGGUGCGUAACGCGUAUGCAACCUACCCUAAUCAGGGGGAUAGCCCAGAGAAAUUUGGAUUAAUACCCCAUAAUAUAAUGGAUUGGCAUCAAUUUAUUAUUAAAACUCCGGUGGAUUAGGAUGGGCAUGCGUCCUAUUAGCUAGUUGGUGUGGUAACGGCACACCAAGGCAACGAUAGGUAGGGGUUCUGAGAGGAUGAUCCCCCACACUGGUACUGAGACACGGACCAGACUCCUACGGGAGGCAGCAGUGAGGAAUAUUGGUCAAUGGACGCAAGUCUGAACCAGCCAUGCCGCGUGCAGGAUGACUGCCCUAUGGGUUGUAAACUGCUUUUAAACAGGAAUAAACCUUUCUACGUGUAGAAAGCUGAAUGUACUGUAAGAAUAAGGAUCGGCUAACUCCGUGCCAGCAGCCGCGGUAAUACGGAGGAUCCAAGCGUUAUCCGGAUUCAUUGGGUUUAAAGGGUCCGUAGGCGGGAGAUUAAGUCAGUGGUGAAAUCCUACAGCUCAACUGUAGAACUGCCAUUGAUACUGGUUUUCUUGAGUGUAAUUGAGGUGGGCGGAAUAUGUCAUGUAGCGGUGAAAUGCAUAGAUAUGACAUAGAACACCUAUUGCGAAGGCAGCUCACUAAGUUAUAACUGACGCUGAGGGACGAAAGCGUGGGUAGCGAACAGGAUUAGAUACCCUGGUAGUCCACGCUGUAAACGAUGAUCACUCGCUGCUGGCGAUAUACAGUCAGUGCCAAGCGAAAGCAUUAAGUGAUCCACCUGGGGAGUACGCUCGCAAGAGUGAAACUCAAUGAAUUGACGG
rnacentral:rRNA from 1 species